GAUGAACGCUGGCGGCGUGCCUAAUACAUGCAAGUCGAGCGAACAGAUGAGGAGCUUGCUCCUCUGACGUUAGCGGCGGACGGGUGAGUAACACGUGGAUAACCUACCUAUAAGACUGGGAUAACUUCGGGAAACCGGAGCUAAUACCGGGUAAAAUAUUGAACCGCAUGGUUCAAUAAUGAAAGACGGUUUUGCUGUCACUUAUAGAUGGAUCCGCGCCGCAUUAGCUAGUUGGUAAGGUAACGGCUUACCAAGGCAACGAUGCGUAGCCGACCUGAGAGGGUGAUCGGCCACACUGGAACUGAGACACGGUCCAGACUCCUACGGGAGGCAGCAGUAGGGAAUCUUCCGCAAUGGGCGAAAGCCUGACGGAGCAACGCCGCGUGAGUGAUGAAGGUCUUCGGAUCGUAAAACUCUGUUAUUAGGGAAGAACAAAUGUGUAAGUAACUAUGCACGUCUUGACGGUACCUAAUCAGAAAGCCACGGCUAACUACGUG
rnacentral:rRNA from 1 species